UAAGGGCGCACGGUGGAUGCCUUGGCACUAGAAGCCGAUGAAGGACGUUACUAACGACGAUAUGCUUUGGGGAGCUGUAAGUAAGCUUUGAUCCAGAGAUUUCCGAAUGGGGAAACCCAGCAUGAGUUAUGUCAUGUUAUCGAUAUGUGAAUACAUAGCAUAUCAGAAGGCACACCCGGAGAACUGAAACAUCUUAGUACCCGGAGGAAGAGAAAGAAAAUUCGAUUCCCUUAGUAGCGGCGAGCGAAACGGGAAGAGCCCAAACCAACAAGCUUGCUUGUUGGGGUUGUAGGACACUCUAUACGGAGUUACAAAGGACGACAUUAGACGAAUCAUCUGGAAAGAUGAAUCAAAGAAGGUAAUAAUCCUGUAGUCGAAAAUGUUGUCUCUCUUGAGUGGAUCCUGAGUACGACGGAGCACGUGAAAUUCCGUCGGAAUCUGGGAGGACCAUCUCCUAAGGCUAAAUACUCUCUAGUGACCGAUAGUGAACCAGUACCGUGAGGGAAAGGUGAAAAGCACCCCGGAAGGGGAGUGAAAUAGAACCUGAAACCGUGUGCUUACAAGUAGUCAGAGCCCGUUAAUGGGUGAUGGCGUGCCUUUUGUAGAAUGAACCGGCGAGUUACGAUUUGAUGCAAGGUUAAGCAGUAAAUGUGGAGCCGUAGCGAAAGCGAGUCUGAAUAGGGCGUUUAGUAUUUGGUCGUAGACCCGAAACCAGGUGAUCUACCCUUGGUCAGGUUGAAGUUCAGGUAACACUGAAUGGAGGACCGAACCGACUUACGUUGAAAAGUGAGCGGAUGAACUGAGGGUAGCGGAGAAAUUCCAAUCGAACCUGGAGAUAGCUGGUUCUCUCCGAAAUAGCUUUAGGGCUAGCCUCAAGUGAUGAUUAUUGGAGGUAGAGCACUGUUUGGACGAGGGGCCCCUCUCGGGUUACCGAAUUCAGACAAACUCCGAAUGCCAAUUAAUUUAACUUGGGAGUCAGAACAUGGGUGAUAAGGUCCGUGUUCGAAAGGGAAACAGCCCAGACCACCAGCUAAGGUCCCAAAAUAUAUGUUAAGUGGAAAAGGAUGUGGCGUUGCCCAGACAACUAGGAUGUUGGCUUAGAAGCAGCCAUCAUUUAAAGAGUGCGUAAUAGCUCACUAGUCGAGUGACACUGCGCCGAAAAUGUACCGGGGCUAAACAUAUUACCGAAGCUGUGGAUUGUCCUUUGGACAAUGGUAGGAGAGCGUUCUAAGGGCGUUGAAGCAUGAUCGUAAGGACAUGUGGAGCGCUUAGAAGUGAGAAUGCCGGUGUGAGUAGCGAAAGACGGGUGAGAAUCCCGUCCACCGAUUGACUAAGGUUUCCAGAGGAAGGCUCGUCCGCUCUGGGUUAGUCGGGUCCUAAGCUGAGGCCGACAGGCGUAGGCGAUGGAUAACAGGUUGAUAUUCCUGUACCACCUAUAAUCGUUUUAAUCGAUGGGGGGACGCAGUAGGAUAGGCGAAGCGUGCGAUUGGAUUGCACGUCUAAGCAGUAAGGCUGAGUAUUAGGCAAAUCCGGUACUCGUUAAGGCUGAGCUGUGAUGGGGAGAAGACAUUGUGUCUUCGAGUCGUUGAUUUCACACUGCCGAGAAAAGCCUCUAGAUAGAAAAUAGGUGCCCGUACCGCAAACCGACACAGGUAGUCAAGAUGAGAAUUCUAAGGUGAGCGAGCGAACUCUCGUUAAGGAACUCGGCAAAAUGACCCCGUAACUUCGGGAGAAGGGGUGCUCUUUAGGGUUAACGCCCAGAAGAGCCGCAGUGAAUAGGCCCAAGCGACUGUUUAUCAAAAACACAGGUCUCUGCUAAACCGUAAGGUGAUGUAUAGGGGCUGACGCCUGCCCGGUGCUGGAAGGUUAAGAGGAGUGGUUAGCUUCUGCGAAGCUACGAAUCGAAGCCCCAGUAAACGGCGGCCGUAACUAUAACGGUCCUAAGGUAGCGAAAUUCCUUGUCGGGUAAGUUCCGACCCGCACGAAAGGCGUAACGAUUUGGGCACUGUCUCAACGAGAGACUCGGUGAAAUCAUAGUACCUGUGAAGAUGCAGGUUACCCGCGACAGGACGGAAAGACCCCGUGGAGCUUUACUGUAGCCUGAUAUUGAAAUUCGGCACAGCUUGUACAGGAUAGGUAGGAGCCUUUGAAACGUGAGCGCUAGCUUACGUGGAGGCGCUGGUGGGAUACUACCCUA
rnacentral:rRNA from 1 species